CCUACGGGUGGCUGCAGUAGGGAAUUUUCGGCAAUGGGGGGAACCCUGACCGAGCAACGCCGCGUGAACGAAGAAGUUAUUCGUAAUGUAAAGUUCUUUUAACAGGGAAGAAAGAGAAAUUUGACGGUAACUGAUGAAUAAGCCCCGGCUAACUACGUGCCAGCAGCCGCGGUAAUCCGUAGGGAGCGAGCGUUAUCCGGAAUUGUUGGGCGUAAAGGGUGCGUAGAUGGGGUAGUAAGUCUUUUGUAAAAAUGCUGGGCUCAACCUAGUAGUGCAAACGGUACUGGAAAGCUAGAGUAUGACAGAGGCAGGUGGAACUAGGUGUGUAGCGGUAAAAUGCGUAAAUAUAUGUAAGAACACCAGUUGCGAAGGCGGCUUGCUGGGUCGAUACUGACAUUGAGGCACGAAAGCGUGGGGAGCGAACAGGAUUAGAUACCCGGGUAGUC
rnacentral:rRNA from 1 species